ACAGGCUUUUCAGGAAAUUCAGCAAUCUACCAGUGAGCAGCCGCUGGUCUUACUGCGCUCUUCACCUGGGUGAUUUAUCUCAUCGGUAUGAGGAAGACAGACUGCUGACUCAGCCAGGCCUGCUUUCCCGCUCUUCUCGACCCCGCGAACGAGACCGUCCAGCUGGCAGAUUCAAGUUUCCGAGGCUCUUCAUUUCAGCUAGUUUUCAAAGUCCAGGAAUUUUUCUCUUAAUUGAGGUUACUUCUCAAAGAGAGCACAGAACCAGCAUCCCAAGAACCAGCCACCUCUUCUUACCCAAGCAAGACCACGGGAGGAAUAUCGGCCGCCGGAAGCCACCGUUUUGGUGACUAAAUAUGGGUGAUGUCCCCCAACUGCAAAGGAAGAAGGGGUAAACAGUUGAAUGAUCACCUGGCAAACAACCGCCGAUUACUCCUGAAAUCAAAUGCAGAGUAGGCGGUUACUCCUGACUUUUUCUCAAGAGCAUUCCAGCAGCCGUUUCCAAUGUGCGGCUCUGAGCCACCAGGCCUGAAGCCAAAAAUCCUUCUGCCGCCCUGGUCGCUGACGGGCCGGAUGGCCUUUGGGAACACCACUUCCCUUUGUGGGCCUCAAUCUGUCCAUUUGUUAAAUUAGGAAAAUUAGCUAACUGAACUCUUAGGCUAGGUAACAGCUGAGGCAUCAAACUAAGAGCAAAACGUAAAGACGGUAUUUUCAGAGGGUGGAUCUGAGAUAAACCACUCAUUCAUCAUUGAUCUGUGAAAAAUACCCAGGACACUGUCCAAUCUGGAAUCUGUGUGGUGGGGGAAAGGGUAAAUCCUAUUGAGAUUAUCGCCGACCUUAUAUGGAGUCAGUGAAGAAAGUAUUUUGUACCUCCGGA